rnacentral:rRNA from 1 species
CCUACGGGUGGCUGCAGUGGGGAAUAUUGGGCAAUGGGCGCAAGCCUGACCCAGCAACGCCGCGUGAAGGAAGAAGGCUUUCGGGUUGUAAACUUCUUUUGACAGGGAAGAGUAGAAGACGGUACUCAAUGAAUAAGCCACGGCUAACUACGUGCCAGCAGCCGCGGUAAUACGUAGGUGGCAAGCGUUAUCCGGAUUUACUGGGUGUAAAGGGCGUGUAGGCGGGACUGCAAGUCAGAUGUGAAACCCAUGGGCUCAACCCAUGGCCUGCAUUUGAAACUGUAGUUCUUGAGUGAUGGAGAGGCAGGCGGAAUUCCGUGUGUAGCGGUGAAAUGCGUAGAUAUACGGAGGAACACCAGUGGCGAAGGCGGCCUGCUGGACAUUAACUGACGCUGAGGCGCGAAAGCGUGGGGAGCAAACAGGAUUAGAUACCCUUGUAGUC